UGCGGAGGGAUCAUUGCUGGAACGCGCCCCAGGCGCACCCAGAAACCCUUUGUGAACUUAUACCUUACUGUUGCCUCGGCGCAUGCCGGCCCCCCUGGGGGCCCCUCCUUCGGGAGGAGCAGGCACGCCGGCGGCCAACCCAACUCUUGUUUUUACACUGAAACUCUGAGAAUAAAACAUAAAUGAAUCAAA
rnacentral:misc_RNA from 2 species